rnacentral:rRNA from 1 species
ACGGAAGGCAGCAGUGGGGAAUAUUGCACAAUGGGCGAAAGCCUGAUGCAGCGACGCCGCGUGAGUGAUGAAGUAUUUCGGUAUGUAAAGCUCUAUCAGCAGGGAAGAUAAUGACGGUACCUGACUAAAAAGCACCGGCUAAAUACGUGCCAGCAGCCGCGGUAAUACGUAUGGUGCAAGCGUUAUCCGGAUUUACUGGGUGUAAAGGGAGCGCAGGCGGUACGGCAAGUCUGAUGUGAAAGCCCGGGGCUCAACCCCGGUACUGCAUUGGAAACUGUCGAACUAGAGUGUCGGAGGGGUAAGUGGAAUUCCUAGUGUAGCGGUGAAAUGCGUAGAUAUUAGGAGGAACACCAGUGGCGAAGGCGACUUACUGGACGAUAACUGACGCUGAGGCUCGAAAGCGUGGGGAGCAAACAGGAUUAGAUACCCUGGUA